rnacentral:lncRNA from 1 species
CCCAUUUAUUGCAGUUGAAACCUGCAGAGAGCACUUGGUACUUGCUUUGCUUUGUUAAGAACACAUGUGAACCAUGACCUGGUUAUGAACUUAUGAUGUUGUUGUAGACUUGUAAUUAGCUCGUCAUGAUGUUGUUGUAGACUUGUAAUUAGCUCUUCAUCUACAUUGGUUUGUGAAAACAGAAAUGAUUUGAUUUGUUCCCGUUAGUUUCUUCACUUAGUAAUGCAUUUAUGAUUUUUUUGACACACUAUUUUACUAUUUCAUGUUUUGUUUGAUUCUUCAAA